CAAACAUAACAUACAAUUGUAAAUAUGAAAUACCGUGGUGAAGGUCAAAAUAAGUGUAAUAAAAGGUAACAAAUAGGGCUAUGUUUUUAGAGACACUUUUGGUUUUGUUUUUUUGUUCUUUCUAACCAAAGAAAAAAAUCAAAAAAAAAAUCCAAAAAAAAAAAAACAAACCCAGAUUGGAACAAGGUUUACGAGAAAAACAGAC
rnacentral:lncRNA from 1 species